ACAAGUACCGUGAGGGAAAGUUGCAAAGCACUUUGAAGAGAGAGUUAAAGAGGACGUGAAACCGGUGAGGUGGAAACGGAUAGAGUCGGCGUAUCAUUCAUGUAUUCAGUUACAUUAUUUUUAUGUUGUGACCUCUGAGCUCCAGAUUGGGACAGAGGGAAUCAGCAUAAUUUUUUGUGGUGCUUUUACUUGAUUGGUGCUUGGGGAUGUUUGAGGCAGAUUUGUUUCCGUCGUUUUGAGGCCAGCUUGCUGGUACCCAAACGGUGUUAGCAUUUUUUGUCUUGGGCAUUUGAGUAUGGCUCACGUGUAUUUAUUGGACAGAUCUGAGUGUAAGUUACGGUCGCAUGCGACACGUGCUUUUCAAUUAGUUCGGUCCAGUUAAUGCUCUCGUACUCGUUUCCCAUGUAAAAGCCGGUCAUCUAUCCGACCCGUCUUGAAACACGGACCAAGGAGUUUAUCGUGUGCGCAAGUUUUUGGGUGUUAAAAACCUAAAGGCGAAAUGAAAGUAAAUGGCUCUUUAGAGUCUGAUGUGCGAUCUAGUAAAAAAGUGCAGCAUGGCCCCAUUCUAACUGUUUACAGUAGGGUGGAGGAAGAGCGUACGCGGUGAGACCCGAAAGAUGGUGAACUAUUCCUGAGCAGGACGAAGCCAGAGGAAACUCUGGUGGAAGUCCGAAGCGGUUCUGACGUGCAAAUCGAUCGUCUGACUUGGGUAUAGGGGCGAAAGACUAAUCGAACCAUCUAGUAGCUGGUUCCUUCCGA
rnacentral:rRNA from 1 species